GGUUUUUUAUUUUUUUUAUUGACAGAAUUAGCAACAAAUGAUAGAAUCACCGACGAAUAUUAUUCCGACGAACAUAUUCUAUCAGCGAAUUAAUCAGUAAAACUUUCACCGACAGAAUGGUAAUCUCACACCAACAGAAAAAUUCAGUUGGUAACAAUAUUAAAUGUUGUAGUUACGCUACCAUUCUUCUAAGCUAAAUUACCAAGGUGAUACCAAGUGGGAUCCUUACCAGCAGAGUUUCAAGGAGUAAUGAACCAGCAACGACCGACCAUGAAUAACCUGCACAACACACAGAGAGUUGUUGCCCAUCCAGCCAGCCACUACUGCAACACUUUCUGGGAAACCAAACAGAAUGCAACAUUAAGAGACAUUAUCUGAAUGCCAAAUCAUUAGCAAGACCACCAGCCAUGUGAUUAGCUCCCCGCAAUAUGUGAGAGAAAGACACAGAGCCCAUAUGUGGAGAAACGAGCAACUAUGAUGAAAAGUUCAUGAUAAUACCAUUGCCUAAUAGAAGAUUUAUACGUCCAAUUUACCACAUUAGAAGAGUCAGAUUCUAUAUUUAAUUUCAUUCCAGACAGAUCUUCUCUUAAUAUUAGUCCCAUCUGCAGAGAGUAAUAAAUCAAGAACACAGCAAGAAAAAUCAGAAAACAAUGCUUUGAUCCACACACAUAG
rnacentral:lncRNA from 1 species